rnacentral:rRNA from 1 species
AUUGAACGCUGGCGGCAGGCUUAACACAUGCAAGUCGAGCGGUAACAGAGAGAAGCUUGCUUCUCUGCUGACGAGCGGCGGACGGGUGAGUAAUGCCUAGGAAUCUGCCUAGUAGUGGGGGAUAACUUGCCGAAAGGUAAGCUAAUACCGCAUACGUCCUACGGGAGAAAGGAGGGGACCUUCGGGCCUUUCGCUAUUAGAUGAGCCUGGGUCGGAUUAGUUAGUUGGUGAGGUAAUGGCUCACCAAGACCGCGAUCCGUAACUGGUCUGAGAGGAUGAUCAGUCAAGCUGGAACUGAGACACGGGCCAGACUCGUACGGGAGGCAGCAGUGGGGAAUAUUGGACAAUGGGGGGAACCCUGAUCCAGCCAUGCCGCGUGUGUGAAGAAGGUCUUAGGAUUGUAAAGCACUUUAAGUUGGGAGGAAGAGCAGUUAACUAAUAUUUGACUGUUUUGACGUUACCGACAGAAUAAGCACCGGCUAACUUCGUGCCAGCCGCCGCCGUAA